UUCAUUGCCCAACCCUGGUAUCAUAAGGCACAUCCUCUCCCACUGAGGCCAGACAAGCCUUCCCAGAAAGCCAUCUUUCUCUAGGGUCCCACAGCUAGUAGCUGUUCUGAAUAUAACUUGAGAGUUCCUGUCACUGACAGUAAAAGUUCCAUGUAUCAGACUCUGACCACCAAGCAAUGUAGACGUAUUAAGAGAAUGAGGGGGCUGAGGGAAUGGGUGAGAAGAUUUGCUACUUUUACAGAGGAGCAAAUUUCACUUCCCAUCACCCAAGGUGGUUGCUCACAGCUGUCUAUAACUGGUCUCCUAGGGGAUCUGACACGAGUGGACUCCACCAGCACCUGCAUGCCCACACACAGACACACACACACACAAGGACACACACACACCCUUCAGAAAGGACGAAGGUACAUUAGAAAGUACUCUAGGGGAAAAACCAAUGGCAAAGCUUGGCCCUUAAGGAGACCUGAUUGAAAUCCAAACCUUCACCAGCGGGAAGCAUGUGUUCUUAGCAGCUCUGUGUGACUUGAAACAUACUCUUAAAACAUUUGUGAUAGCCUCUUAUGUAGAUGUCUUUUGUUCUGAAAAUUCAUCGGAGCCAAACUAAUAAUCUGUUUGCCAGGCAGACAGUGGCAUUUCAUCGAGUCCAAAGGGAGCUGACGAUGCAUCAUUAUAUUUAUGAUGGGCCAAAGCCGCGUCACCACACCCAGUUCAUCCAUUCAUUCUUGGGUUGAGUGAGUACCUGAUGGUGCCUAUGCAUGUGCGUGAAGAUCCGUGGACAACCUUCAGGACUCGCUCAUCCUCGGGUGGGUCCUGCAGAUGGAAAUCAGGUUGUCGGGCACAGCAGCAAGCUCCUUUACUGACAGAGACACCUGGCCAGCC
rnacentral:lncRNA from 1 species